GGCCAUCUUUUUCGGCCUCUUGGACCAGAAUCGUUCGCCUUUCUGAAGAGGAAUUUUUAUUAUGCGAAUCAGAAUUCAAGUAAGUCGGAAAGAAUAAAUCAAAGGCGGGUUAAGUUAUUUACCUUAGGAGCCGGGUUAAUCUUGCAGAAUGGCUUAAGCCCUAUUUGGCUACACUUGGCCAUGGGCUCACUUGCUAACUUCUUGAUGAUGGUCACAAUAUCAUUCUCUGUGAGUGUUGUGCG
rnacentral:lncRNA from 1 species